UACGAAGGGGGCUAGCGUUGCUCGGAAUCACUGGGCGUAAAGGGUGCGUAGGCGGGUCUUUUAAGUCAGGGGUGAAAUCCUGGAGCUCAACUCCAGAACUGCCUUUGAUACUGAAGAUCUUGAGUCCGGGAGAGGUGAGUGGAACUGCGAGUGUAGAGGUGAAAUUCGUAGAUAUUCGCAAGAACACCAGUGGCGAAGGCGGCUCACUGGCCCGGUACUGACGCUGAGGCACGAAAGCGUGGGGAGCAA
rnacentral:rRNA from 1 species